UGGUUUGUUUUCAACUACCUACAUCUUAAAUAUAAGUGAAUGUCACUCAAGUUAAAAAUUCUGAUUGUGAUGAUAAUGAAUGCGUUAAACUAUAAUGGUUUGUUUUCUUAUGGAUCAUAUCGAAUGAUGUUUUUCCCCAAAUUUCACCACAAGAACCAAAGGUGGUUGAUCUUGCUCGAUUCCUAACUAAAAGUGGGACCUGUAUAUAAGGAGUAGGAAGCUAAAGUUUCUUAAACUCCACAGCUAAACUUACUUCACUAAACAACAUGUAUUUGAUCUUUUCUUUGCGGUUGAAUCUUUGUUAAUUAAUUAGUAGGUCCUUGGUACCUCUUUCUUACAUAUUUGGAUUUGCCAAGUUGAUACUAUCUGAUAUUGACUGCUUUGCUAGUGUUUUCUGCAAACUCCUAAUAUCACCAUGACUCACUUAAUGAGUUACUUGAAACUUGCAAUUAGGGACUUGUCCUCAAGCGGAUUGACAGGAGAGAUAACUUCAUAUAUAUCCCAUCAUGACAUGUUACAUCUUUUAACUUGGAGAAGAACAAGCUCAAAUGGUUCACUUCCGAGUAUGCUUAUUGAAAAAUUGACAAGUGGAUCAUUAUUGUUAAGGGCUGGAGAAAAUGAAAACUUAUGUGCAGCAAUAUCAUGCAAAAGGAAGAAAGCCAAUGUAUUCAUUCCCAUAAUAGCAGCAGUUGGUGGAUUUGCUAUUCUGUUUGCAGCUCAGUUGUUAUAUUAUUUAGCAUGAGAACAAAAGAGAAUGAGGUGAAGCUGUAAUAUAUAUUACUAACAGUUGAAUGGUAAACAGAGAAACUGUUUGAUGUGUCAUAUGUAUGCAAUUUUGAUAAUACAAGAAUGUUUUUUUUUGUGUCC